ensembl:lncRNA
AUAGAAAUAUAUUUCAUAAAAUGGACAAAGCUCGUCAGUCCAGAGAUUUCUGGGUGUUACCAAAAUAUGGAUGCCAGUGUAUCCACUCUGAAACGUUGACUUAAAUUGGAGAGUCUGCUCCAUUUUACUAAUCCUAAUUCUGUGUAUUCGAAAGAGAGGGGAAUUCUGAUUCUGAAUUCUGAUGCUGCGCCACAUUCUAUAACGUUGUUGGGAAAUGGGCCCAAUCCAAGGGUGACUUGGUUCCUCCAUUCUCUUGUGUUCAUGGCGUUCUUUCGAUUUCCCAUCAUAGUGAAACCCCCAUCCUGUUACACACAUACGUGGAGGAAGCAGAAGUCAGAGGAGGGACUAGCAUUUAAACACAGUAGAAAUGGUAACACUUACAUCAACUGUUGAAUGAUAGACACUACAAAGUGAACUGAUAUGUGAUCAAAGUGUAAAAUAAAUAGGAAAUUGAUCCUUUACUUAAGACUUAAGACUUAAGACUUCUGUUGCUAUUUUUCCUCCUUCAAAACAGUCUGAAAACAUUUCACAUCCCCCUUUCCUCUUGUAUUGCAAUUGUUCUUCCAGUUACGUCUGUUGCAGGGCUCUCUCUAUUGUGUUAUUGGAGAUAUACUGGGUCCACAGAUAUUCCUGUGUGUAAGACAAUACCCCUCAAAUCAUUGCAUCUCAUCAUUAGCCAUAUAAGAAUAACAAACAUAAAGGAAGUUAUGUCUUAUGUGUUGAUGGACAGGCACAGAACAUUUACCUAUGGCUAUUGUUUUUUUAUUCAAUCAUGAAGUUUUCAUAUAUAUAUCAAAACUAUGAAAUAACACAUGGAUUCAUGUAGUAUCCAAACAAAGUGUUACACAAAUCAAAGUAUAUUUAUAUUUGAGAUUCCUUGAAGUAGACACCCUUUGCCUUGAUGACAGCUUUGCACACUCUUGCCAUUCUCUCAACCAGCUUCAUGAGGUAGUCACCUGGAAUGCAUUUAAAUUAACUGGUGUGCCUUGUUAAAAGUUAAUUUGUGGAAUUUCUUUCCUUAAUGCGCUUGAGCUAAUCAGUUGUGUUGUGACAAGGUAAGGGUGGUAUAGAUAGAAGAUAGCCCUAUUUAGUAAAAUACCAAGUCCAUAUUAUGGCAAGAACAGCUCAAAUAAGCAAAGGGAAACAACAGUCCAUCAUUACUUUAAGACAUAAAGGUCAGUCAAUUCGUAAAACUUCAAGAACUUUUGAAAGUUUCUUCAAGGGCAGUUGCAAAAACCAUCAAGUGCUAUGAUGAAACUGGCUCUCAUGAGGACCGCCACAGGAAAUUAAGACCCAGAGUUGCUGCAGAGGAUCAGUUCAUUAGAGUUACCAGCCUCAGAAAUUGCAGCCACAAUAAAUCCUUUACAGAGUUCAAGUAACGGACUCAUCUCAACAUCAACUGUUCAAUGGAGACUGCGUGAAACAGGCUUUCAUGGUUGAAUUGCUGCAAAGAAACCACUACAAAAGGACACCAAUAAGAAGAAGAUACUUGCUUGGGCCAGGAAACACGACCGGUGGAAAUCUGUUUGAGUCCAAAUUAAUAGAUUUUUGGCUCCAACCGCCAUGUGAGAUGCAAAGUACUUGAAAGGAUGAUCUCCGCUUGUGUGGUUCCCACCGUGAAGCAUGGAGGAGGAGGUGUGGGGUUGCUUUGCUGGUGACACGGACAAUGAUCCAAUACACCUCCAGGCUGUGUAAGGGCUAUUUGACCAAGAAGGAGAGUAAUGGAGUGCUGAUUCAGAUGACCUGGCCUCCACAAGCACCCGACCACAACCCAGUUGAGAUGGUUUGGGAUUAGUUGAACCACAGAGUGAAGGAAAAGCAGCCAACAAGUGCUCAGCAUAUGUGGGAACUCCUUCAAGACUGUUGGAAAAGCAUUCCAUCAGAAGCUUCUAAAGCCAUGACAUACUUUUCUGGAAUUUUCCAAGCUGUUUAAAGGCACAGUCAACUGACCCACUAGAAUUGUGAUACAGUGAAUUUUAAGUGAAAUAAUAUGUCUGUAAACAAUUGUUGGAAAAAUUACCUGUGUCAUGCACAAAGUAAAUGUCCUAACCGACUUGCCAAAACUAUAGUUUGUAAACAAGAAAUUAGUGGAGUGGUUGAAUAAUGAGUUUUAAUGACUCCAACUUAAGUGUAAGUAAACUUCCGACUUCAACUGUAUAUAUUAGGCGGGGCGUUGGAUAUUCCUGCAGUCAGUAUGUCAAUUGCACACUCCCUCAAAACUUGAGACAUCUGUAGCAUUUAGGUGCAUUUAGUCUAAUCUUUUGGCUAGGUUAUGAUACACUAUCAUAUACAGAAGUAUGUGGACACCCCUUCAAAUUAGUGGAUUCUGCUAUUUCAGCCACACCCGUUGCUGACAGGUGUAUAAAAUUGAGCACACAGCCAUGCAAUCUCCAUAGACAACCAAUGGCAGUAGAAUGGCCUUGCUGAAGAGAGGUUCAUCCAAAAGAUGGAGAUUCAACAGGAGGCUAUUUGCCAUUUUUGACCAAAUACACAAAAUAUAGAAAAUGAAGGUGGAGUUGGGCAGGAGUCAUAUGAUUCUGUAGGCCUGGGGGUAGAGCCCUCAGAGCGCCUGUCUUCCAGUAAUGAGCUUUGGCAGGUUAACCUGAGGGGGCAGAGGGGGGCUGCAGAGGUCAUGUUUCUGGGAGGAAGAGAAAUCUCCAUUGGCGUCAAGGCGUAUGUUUCAGGUCUCACUCACUAUUAUUACAUCUCAAUGCUGAGCCCAGCAUUUUUCAUGUGAAGAUUUAGGUGUUUUUAGACAUGUGAUUAAAAGACAUGAAGACAACUUAUGAAAUAGGCUUGUGUCUUGUGUUGGCAAAUGUAAUCUUUGAUGAUAGGUUUGAAACAAUGUUACACCGGGAUGAAAAUAUAAACAUUACAUGUCAUGUUGAUGUUUGGCUUGGCGUGGCUGGUCAGACUGGCAGGAACAUGCAUUUCUCCUGAUUUGUUGCAUGUCAGGGCCUGGGUCUGGAGGAUGCUGUUGUGGUCGUAGGAAAUGGAGCCGAUGACAGAGACACUAUCACUCUGGCCUCAGGAAACAGAAAAUACCUCAUCACUCCCACGUGGAAGUCCAACACAAAACACACCGUGCCCUCAGUGCCCGCUCCUCUGGGUCUGCCAACCGUGCCCAGACCUCCCGUCUCUGAACUGGUGUUGGUUUUGUUGCUUAAGAGGAGUGUCCUGCUAAACCAUUACUGACCUCCUGAACAAUUAGUGGCUGUCAUAUGGCUCAGUUGUUUGGAACAUAGUGCUGCUAAAAAACAAGCUUGUUUUAAUUGCACACAUGCUUAACUGAAUGAACAACAGAGACAAAAAGCAACAAUUAACAUUUCUUGAAAUAGUUUGGGGAAUGGCCUCAUCUCUGAGGGAUGAUCCUCAGAGCCAUAUGCUUUGAUGGCAGGUAGCCCUAUGUGGGGCAUCUGGCACCGACCACUGGACUUAAGGAGUUCCAUUGACUUAGCUAGUGGUGGUGAGGAGGUGGCGGGUUGUCGGUAACCUUUGCUGUAACACAGCAAGUAAGAGAACAUGGGUAAGUUUGACAGAAAUAAAUACAUACCAAGAUUUAUGCCCAUUGGUUGAGAGAAACAAUGGUGAUAAUUUCAAGAGUAAGCCCGUAGGUUGAACAGCAAGUGUGAAGAAUGUGCAUUAUUAUGCCGUGCUCAUAGCUGAAUGACAUUCUGCAUGUGGAAAAUCGAAAAGGGAGAAAUGACGCUCUGAUGAUGUUGAUGACAAUGUUUGUAAACACUAACGUAUACAUUCCCACUAUGCAAAUUGUGCACAGAGGAAGCAAUGUGAAUUGUAUUGUGCUUACUGAAAAAAGUAAAGUGAGCUUUCCAUUCAGACAAAUCUUACUGAUUGAACCUAUGUUAUCAACUAUAUUGAACAGAAAUAUAAACACAACAUGCAACAACUUCAUAUAAGGAAAUCAGUCAAUAGAAAAAAAUUAAUUGGGCCAUAAUCUAUGGAUUUCACAUGACUGGGCAGGGGCGUAGCCAUGGGUGGGCCUGGUAGGGCGUAGGCCCACCCAUUUGAGAGCCAGGCCCACUCACUGUGUAGCCAGGCCCAGCCAAUUAAAAUGAGUUUUUCCCUACAAAAAGGCUUUAUUACAGACAGAAAUACUCCUCAGUUUCAUCAGCUGUCCGGGUGGCUGGUCUCAGACGAUCCCACAGGUGAAGAAGCCGUAUUUGGAGGUCCUGGGCUGACGUGGUUACAUGUGGUCUGCGGUUGUGAGGCCAGUUGGACAUACUGCCAAAUUCUCUAAAACGACGUUGGUGGUGACUUAUGGUAGAAAUAUUAAAAUGAAAUUUUCUGGCAACAGCUAUGGUGGACAUUCCUGCAGUCAGCAUGCAAAUUGCACACUCCCUCAACUUAAGACGUCUGUGUUGUGACAAAACUGCACAUUUUAAAGUGGCCUUUUACUGUCCCAAGCACAAGGUGCACCUGUGUAAUGAUCAUGCUGUUUAAUCAGCUUCUUGAUAUGCUACACCUGUCAGGUGGAUAGAUUAUCUUGGCAAAGGAGAAAUGUUCCCUAACAUGUAUGUAAACAAAUUUGUGGCCAAAAUUUGAAUGAAAUAAGAUUUUUGUGUGUAUGGAAAAAUGUGGGUAUCUUUUAUUUCAGCU